rnacentral:rRNA from 1 species
UACGAAGGGUGCAAGCGUUACUCGGAAUUACUGGGCGUAAAGGGUGCGUAGGUGGUUUUUUAAGUCCGUUGUGAAAUCCCUGGGCUCAACCUGGGAAUGGCAGUGGAUACUGGAAAGCUAGAGUGCGGUAGAGGGUAGUGGAAUUCCCGGUGUAGCAGUGAAAUGCGUAGAGAUCGGGAGGAACACCAGUGGCGAAGGCGGCUACCUGGAACAGCACUGACACUGAGGCACGAAAGCGUGGGGAGCAAACAGG